rnacentral:rRNA from 1 species
GUAAAUAAUUAAGGGCGUAUGGUGGAUGCCUAGGCUCUCAGAGGCGAUGAAGGACGUGAUAAGCUGCGAAAAGCUCCGUUUAGGUGCAAAUAACCUUUGAUGCGGAGAUCUCCGAAUGGGAUAACCCAAUAUGUUGAAGACAUAUUAUACCGUAAGGUAGGCAAACGCAGGGAACUGAAACAUCUAAGUACCUGCAGGAGAAGAAAACAAACGUGAUUCCCCCAGUAGCGGCGAGCGACCGGGGAUAAGCCCAAACCGUUAUUGUUUCGGCAGUAGCGGGGUAGUAGGACUGCGACAUUGAUGAAAUAAAUGAAAUGGAACACUUUGGAAAAUGUGAUCACAGAGGGUGAUAAUCCCGUACAUGCAAGUUUAUGAAUCAUAGCAGACUCCUGAGUAAGUCGGGACACGUGUAAUCCUGACCGAAUCCGCCGGGACCAUCCGGCAAGGCUAAAUACUCCUGAGAGACCGAUAGUGAACCAGUACCGUGAGGGAAAGGUGAAAAGCACUUCGAACAGAAGAGUGAAAUAGUCCCUGAACCCAUACGCCUACAAGCUGUCGGAGCCGCUUCGUGCGGUGACGGCGUGCCUUUUGCAUAAUGAGCCUACGAGUUACUCAUCACCAGCGAGGUUAAGUACUUCAGGUACGUAAGCCGAAGCGAAAGCGAGUCUGAAUAGGGCGUCAAGUUGGUGGUGGUAGACGCGAAACCUUAGUGAUCUACCCAUGGGCAGGGUGAAGGUUUGGUAACACAAACUGGAGGCCCGAACCGGUAAACGUUGAAAAGUUUUCGGAUGACCUGUGGGUAGGGGUGAAAGGCCAAUCAAACUGGGAAAUAGCUCGUACUCUCCGAAAUGCAUUUAGGUGCAGCCUCUGUUGUUUUGUUCUAGAGGUAGAGCUACUGAUUGGAUGCGAGGGCUUCACCGCCUAUCAAAUCCGGCCAAACUCCGAAUGCUAGAACAUGAAGACAGGGAGUGAGCCAGCGGGUGCUAAGGUCCGUUGACGAAAGAGGGAGAACUCAGACCAUCAGCUAAGGUCCCCAAUUAUAUGCUAAGUUGGAAUUAAAACGGGGUGGGACUGCUUAGACAGCUAGGAUGUUGGCUUGGAAGCAGCCAUUCAUUUAAAGAGUGCGUAACAGCUCACUAGUCGAGCGGUCCUGCAUGGAUAAUACGCGGGCAUAAGCAUAUAACCGAAGCUAUGGGAUUGUAGAUGAUACAAUCGGUAGGAGAGCAUUCCAUUCAGCGUAGAAGCAGUAUCGUGAGGUAUUGUGGAGCGGAUGGAAAAGCAAAUGUAGGCAUAAGUAACGAUAAUGCGGGUGAGAACCCCGCACGCCGAAAGAUCAAGGAUUCCCCGGCAAUGUCAAUCAUCCGGGGGUAAGUCGGAUCCUAAGGGUAAGCCGAGUGGCGAUCCCGAUGGCAAACAGGUUAAUAUUCCUGUACUGAUCAUAACUGCGAUGCAGCGACGCAGAGGUGACACUGCUGCGUACUGACGGAAUAGUACGUUGAAACCCGUAUUCUUUGAUACCGGUAGUGAAGCACGCCGGUAGAGAUGAAAGGUGAUAGUACCGCAAUGCUUCGGUUGCGCGGAUAAUGCAGGUAAGCUGACUGCCAAGAAAACCUGCUAAGCUUCAGGUAAUGAUCAUCCGUACUGUAAACGGACACACGUGAUCAGGUAGAAAAUACUAAGGCGCUCGAGAGAUUCAUGGUUAAGGAACUAGGCAAAAUGGUCCUGUAACUUCGGGAUAAAGGACGCUCUUGUGAAAGAGCCGCAGAUAAUAGGCCCAGGCGACUGUUUACCAAAAACACAUGGCUAUGCUAAUUCGCAAGAAGAUGUAUAUGGCCUGACACCUGCCCGGUGCCGGAAGGUUAAGAGGAGAGCUCAGAGGCAACUCGAAGGUUUGAAUUGAAGCCCCGGUAAACGGCGGCCGUAACUAUAACGGUCCUAAGGUAGCGAAAUUCCUUGUCGGGUAAGUUCCGACCUGCACGAAUGG